UGAUCAUGGCUCAGAUUGAACGCUGGCGGCAGGCUUAACACAUGCAAGUCGAGCGGAGAGAGGUAGCUUGCUACUGAUCUUAGCGGCGGACGGGUGAGUAAUACUUAGGAAUCUGGCUAUUAGUGGGGGACAACAUUUCGAAAGGGAUGCUAAUACCGCAUACGUCCUACGGGAGAAAGCAGGGGAUCUUCGGACCUUGCGCUAAUAGAUGAGCCUAAGUCGGAUUAKCUAGUUGGUGGGGUAAAGGCCUACCAAGGCGACRAUCUGUAGCGGGUCUGAGAGGAUGAUCCGCCACACUGGGACUGAGACACGGCCCAGUCUCCUACGGGAGGCAGCAGUGGGGAAUAUUGGACAAUGGGGGGAACCCUGAUCCANCCAUGCCGCGUGUGUGAAGAAGGCCUUAUGGUUGUAAAGCACUUUAAGCGAGGAGGAGGGUACUGGUAUUAAUACUACCAGGUACUGGACGUUACUCGCAGAAUAAGCACCGGCUAACUCUGUGCCAGCAGCCGCGGUAAUACAGAGGGUGCGAGCGUUAAUCGGAUUUACUGGGCGUAAAGCGUGCGUAGGCGGCUAAUUGAGUCGGAUGUGA
rnacentral:rRNA from 1 species